rnacentral:rRNA from 1 species
UGGGGAAUAUUGGACAAUGGGGGCAACCCUGAUCCAGCCAUGCCGCGUGAGUGAUGAAGGCCUUCGGGUUGUAAAGCUCUUUUUGGCGGGGACGAUGAUGACGGUACCCGCAGAAUAAGCCCCGGCUAACUUCGUGCCAGCAGCCGCGGUAAGACGAAGGGGGCUAGCGUUGUUCGGAAUUACUGGGCGUAAAGCGAGUGUAGGCGGUUGCCGUAGUCAGGUGUGAAAGCCUUGAGCUCAACUCAAGAAAUGCACUUGAUACUGGGUGACUAGAGGACCGGAGAGGAUAGUGGAAUUCCCAGUGUAGUGGUGAAAUACGUAGAGAUUGGGAAGAACACCAGUGGCGAAGGCGGCUAUCUGGACGGUUACUGACGCUAAGACUCGAAAGCGUGGGGAGCAAACAGGAUUAGAUACCCUGGUAGUCCACGCCGUAAACGAUGGGUGCUAGACGUUGGCGAGCUUGCUCGUCAGUGUCGCAGCUAACGCGUUAAGCACCCCGCCUGGGGAGUACGGCCGC